GCUUAACACAUGCAAGUCGAACGGAAAGGCCCUGCUUUUGUGGGGUGCUCGAGUGGCGAACGGGUGAGUAACACGUGAGUAACCUGCCCUUGACUUUGGGAUAACUUCAGGAAACUGGGGCUAAUACCGGAUAGGAGCUCCUGCUGCAUGGUGGGGGUUGGAAAGUUUCGGCGGUUGGGGAUGGACUCGCGGCUUAUCAGCUUGUUGGUGGGGUAGUGGCUUACCAAGGCUUUGACGGGUAGCCGGCCUGAGAGGGUGACCGGCCACAUUGGGACUGAGAUACGGCCCAGACUCCUACGGGAGGCAGCAGUGGGGAAUAUUGCACAAUGGGCGGAAGCCUGAUGCAGCAACGCCGCGUGCGGGAUGACGGCCUUCGGGUUGUAAACCGCUUUCGCCUGUGACGAAGCGUGAGUGACGGUAAUGGGUAAAGAAGCACCGGCUAACUACGUGCCGGCAGCCGCGGUGAUACGUAGGGUGCGAGCGUUGUCCGGAUUUAUUGGGCGUAAAGGGCUCGUAGGUGGUUGAUCGCGUCGGAAGUGUAAUCUUGGGGCUUAACCCUGAGCGUGCUUUCGAUACGGGUUGACUUGAGGAAGGUAGGGGAGAAUGGAAUUCCUGGUGGAGCGGUGGAAUGCGCAGAUAUCAGGAGGAACACCAGUGGCGAAGGCGGUUCUCUGGGCCUUUCCUGACGCUGAGGAGCGAAAGCGUGGGGAGCGAACAGGCUUAGAUACCCUGGUAGUCCACGCUGUAAACGGUGGGUACUAGGUGUGGGGUCCAUUCCACGGGUUCCGUGCCGUAGCUAACGCUUUAAGUACCCCGCCUGGGGAGUACGGCCGCAAGGCUAAAACUCAAAGGAAUUGACGGGGCCCCGCACAAGCGGCGGAGCAUGCGGAUUAAUUCGAUGCAACGCGUAGAACCUUACCUGGGUUUGACAUGGAUCGGGAGUGCUCAGAGAUGGGUGUGCCUCUUUUGGGGUCGGUUCACAGGUGGUGCAUGGCUGUCGUCAGCUCGUGUCGUGAGAUGUUGGGUUAAGUCCCGCAACGAGCGCAACCCUUGUUCACUGUUGCCAGCACGUUAUGGUGGGGACUCAGUGGAGACCGCCGGGGUCAACUCGGAGGAAGGUGGGGAUGACGUCAAGUCAUCAUGCCCCUUAUGUCCAGGGCUUCACGCAUGCUACAAUGGCUGGUACAGAGAGUGGCGAGCCUGUGAGGGUGAGCGAAUCUCGGAAAGCCGGUCUCAGUUCGGAUUGGGGUCUGCAACUCGACCUCAUGAAGUCGGAGUCGCUAGUAAUCGCAGAUCAGCAACGCUGCGGUGAAUACGUUCCCGGGGCUUGUACACACCGCCCGUCAAGUCAUGAAAGUUGGUAACACCCGAAGCCGGUGGCCUAACCGUUGUGGGGGAGCCGUCGAAGGUGGGACUGGUGAUUAGGACUAAGUC
rnacentral:rRNA from 1 species